AUGAGGAGCCAGGUGCUGAAUGAGUCACAAAAAUCUCACCUCCUUCAAAGAGAUUAUUCUCUCAAGGAAGAAAAACAAGCUCCGCUGCAAGCCCCUGUCCUUGUGUCCUUCUUUGCAUCUAAAGGAUCCACCAGCCCUCUGAGAGGAGAUAACAGAGAUGUCCUCAGAAGAGCUGCUUGGACUUCUUCAGGAGAAACUAAGGCGCAACAAAAGAGGUUUCUCUACUUACUCCCCUCAUACUUAAGCCACAAUUUCAAGCAAGCCCUUUCACAAAGUGUGAAUAAGAGCCAUACAUGGCUAGUUCAGUGA
rnacentral:lncRNA from 1 species